rnacentral:rRNA from 1 species
UCCUUCGGGAGGAAGACCAUUGUGACUGAGUGGCGACGGGUGAGUAACGCGUGGGUAACCUGCCUUGUACAGGGGGAUAACAGUUGGAAACGACUGCUAAUACCGCAUAAGCGCACAGUACCGCAUGGUACGGUGUGAAAAACUCCGGUGGUACAAGAUGGACCCGCGUCUGAUUAGCUUGUUGGUGAGUAACGGCCCACCAAGGCGACGAUCAGUAGCCGACUUGAGAGAGUGAUCGGCCACAUUGGGACUGAGACACGGCCCAAACUCCUACGGGAGGCAGCAGUGGGGAAUAUUGGCACAAUGGGGGAAACCCUGAUGCAGCGACGCCGCGUGAGUGAUGAAGUAUUUCGGUAUGUAAAGCUCUAUCAGCAGGGAAGAUAAUGACGGUACCUGACUAAGAAGCACCGGCUAAAUACGUG